ensembl:lncRNA
CAAGAGGACAGACAGGAAAAACUUGAUUUGCACGCCCUGAAACUCACCGUCACAGAGGUACAGUAUUUAUAUUUGGGAGUCCACCCAGGCAUACAUCAGAUCAGCCCUGUCAACAUCACGAGAAAGACAACUUGGGUACAUCUGACUGAACUUAUUGAAAUUGGCUUUUUACGGUGACUUUUAAAAGGUGAAAAGAGGACAGGAGAUACAAAAGGGUUUCAUGAAAAAAAAAACAGAAGUGGGACUGAAGAAGAAAAAAGAAAAAAGAAGACUCUACACAUCUGAAGGCACUUGACAAAGGCCUGAUCCAGGAGACUAGCCAUGGAGGAGGAUUACAAGAAACCACCACCGUCUUAUGAAGAAGUUAUUACCCAGCAGCACACGAGCAAUACUAGUCAGAGCCGCUCUGCUGAUAACAGGCAGGGCUGCUGCUGCAGGUGCUGCAUUAGCACCAAGAACUGUCUGAUGAGUCCAGAGUGCGGUCGAGCUCUUAGCAUCGCCAACGUGAUUGCCAUGUGUGGCAUGUGCAUUCGAAUGUGUGUCUAACACAGUCUCCUGUGGACCAUCUAUUCCAGUUCUCUCAUCCAAUGGUGGCCUUCUCAAAUAAAAAUGGAAACAAAGACAUUUGCUCUGUUCCAAAACCUAGUGAUCUGCAACAUUUAUAAGCUCACCCCCAAUACGAAUCCCAAUGCUGUUCCAAAUAGAAUGCAGGACUGCAUGUAUCAUUCAGGUAAUCCUAGAACGAACUGACUAAAAUUUCCAUUUCAAAUAGGAAAUGUCAAUUGCAAAGUAUAGCUUAUAAAUACAAAGUAUAUUAAUUCAGUACUGACACAUAUCAUUGAAAAACACGGCCACGUCAUAUGACCUGUGAGCUUAGCAACAUGCUAACAUUAUACUUUAUAAGAAUCAACUGUGUUAGUAGUCUCUCAUGUGCAUCAUGGGCCUCUUUAAUCAAAUAGUAGCACAAUACAUUUGUAAAUCAUUUGUAACAUAUCUAACAGACCUUUUCUGUCUGCAAAAUUUUGUUAAUGUGACGGCUCCUUUACAAUAUGUCUUUCCUUUUGGGAAGACAAUAGCAGACAAUAGAGUUAAACAGUUGUAUUAAUAUUUUCUCUUUAAUCCAAGUCACCUACGUUUAUAUAGAGCUUUAUACAAUACUAAACAGGAAAGAAACAGAAUCAGUGACGCAAACUUCAUCAAAUAUGAGGCAAUCCGAAUUCUGCUGUAAAGCAGCUCUAACAAAACAUUUCCAAAAUAGUUGCAGUCAUUUGGAAAUGCCAACUGAGCUCAUAUUGGUUUUCUUUCAUAACUUGGAGCCAGUGAUGUAAUUGGAUGUGGCAUCCACCUUAAUUAUGUAUCAGGGUAUCAAAACUUUGCAUUUAUCAUUAACAUUUCUUCUAAAACUUCUUGUUGGAAAAUAUAAUUCAUAAUACAGAAUUAUGUUUUAAAUGAUGUGCACUAGACCGACAGGUCAAUAAAUCACAAUGCUAGAUUAUUUUCCCAAUUGUGGUGGAUUGUUUUCCUUUAAGACUGUAAAAUAUUAAACCUGCAGCCUGAGAAUGUGUAAAUAUGGAUCUUCUCCACUGUGGAUAUAAAGCCUUUUGUCUUAUAGCCGGUACGCAAACAAAUACCUUUACAUUAAUACAGCUGGAGUGUUUUACCUUCAGGAGUAAAUAUUUAUCCAGUUAAAAAUAGUUGAACUCUACGCUCAAAUAUGUAAAAUAAUAAAGAUGUCUGACAUUUGCAAAUAAGGAUGAAUAUGGAGUCUUUAUUUUGUGUCAUUUGAAAUAGUAUUUGCA